GACGAACGCUGGCAGCGUGCUUAACACAUGCAAGUCGAACGAAGUGGCGAACGGGUGAGUAAUACGUGAGUAACCUGCCCUCCUUUUUGGGAUAAGCCUUGGAAACGGCGUCUAAUACCGGAUAAAUGGGGAUGGGCUCGCGGCCUAUCAGCUCGUUGGUGGGGUGAUGGCCUACCAAGGCGGUGACGGGUAGCCGGCCUGGUAGGGGGAGCGGCGACAUUGGGACUGAGAUACGGCCAAGACUCAUAGGGGAGGAAGCAGUGGGGAAUAUUGGACAAUGGGCGAAAGCCUGAUCCAGCCAUGACGCGUGUGUGAAGAAGGUCGUCGGAUUGUAAAGCUCUGUUGUUAGAGAAGCGGUAACUAACCAGAAAGGGACGGCUAACUACGUGCCAGCAGCCGCGGUAAUUC
rnacentral:rRNA from 1 species